rnacentral:rRNA from 1 species
CCUACGGGUGGCAGCAGUGAGGAAUAUUGGUCAAUGGACGAGAGUCUGAACCAGCCAAGUAGCGUGAAGGAUGAAUGCCCUAUGGGUUGUAAACUUCUUUUAUAUGGGAAUAAAAUGUUCCACGUGUGGGAUUUUGUAUGUACCAUAUGAAUAAGGAUCGGCUAACUCCGUGCCAGCAGCCGCGGUAAUACGGAGGAUCCGAGGGUUAAUCGGAUUUAUUGGGUUUAACGGGAGCGUAGGUGGUUUGUUAAGUCAGUUGUGAAAGUUUGCGGCUCAACCGUACAAUUGCAGUUGAAACUGUCAGUCUUGAGUACAGUAGAGGUGAGCGGAAUUCGUGGUGUAGCGGUGAAAUGCUUAGAUAUCACGAAGAACUCCGAUUGCGAAGGCAGUUCACUGGACUGCAACUGACACUGAUGCUCGAAAGUGUGGGUAUCAAACAGGAUUAGAUACCCCAGUAGUC